GGGUUGUGAGGUUAAGCGACUAAGCGUACACGGUGGAUGCCCUGGCAGUCAGAGGCGAUGAAGGACGUGCUAAUCUGCGAUAAGCGUCGGUAAGGUGAUAUGAACCGUUAUAACCGGCGAUUUCCGAAUGGGGAAACCCAGUGUGAUUCGUCACACUAUCAUUAACUGAAUCC
rnacentral:rRNA from 2 species